AAAUACUCUUUUCCCGCUAACUUGGAGGGAAAAUUGAAAAUUCAUAAUACCAAAUUCAGCUGCUUGAGUUUGCUAAUUUAUCGUUGUUUAGAUCGAUUAUUGAAGCAACAUAGUCUAAACCGUUGUGAUUACAUUUCUAGCUUCUUGCAGAUACAGAUCGGUGUGUUAAUCAGCUUCCAAAGGUGGAUUUCGCGUGCUCAAUAGCACAGAUACCAUGGCCAAUUAUUAUGACAUCGAUGACAUAUUAUCUGAAGAAGAGCUCGUCCCAACCGUGUUCCAACAUGCUGCAAAUGGGGUUGGGCUCUUUGAUUCAAGCGACGAUGCGGAUAAGGUGGAAGCUGGUUCGAGCCGUUCUGGCUGGUUCGUCAAUUGUAUUUGAGACAGCUUAUAUUUAUAAGGGUUCCUCCUUGUUUUGAUAGAGAAUCUAAAACAAGAGAAGAGAUAGCAGCUGAUGCUGCCCAUGUGGAUUUAAGAAGCCGGUCUUCAUAUUUUUAUGAGUUGGGGUGUAAGAUUGCAAUAUUGAAAGUGAAUGACCAUUGUGAUGAUUCCACCAGUUAUACCUGUAUCAAGUUUGCUCUCCCUUCAGAUUGUGAUCAGUAAUGCAACAUCUAAUUUCAGAAUCCAUGACAGAACCAUUGGCUCUUUCCUUCUUGUGGCAUUCCAGACCAGAUACAGGGACGUGUUGGUUAAGGCUCAUAGGUUGACACUUACAAUGACCACCAAAUACUUGACACUUUUAACUAAUGAAGAAACCAAAUUGGCUUUGUUCCUAGUGGCGGAUGGGUGGACCGAGAUUUCAAGCAGCUCCUGUACUUGGGAGGAAAAGGAAGCCGACUUAGAUGGAAUUCACGCUCUCUCUUAGAGCAUCCCCAACGGUGCUCAUGCUGAAGGACGCCGUCCGUGCCGACGGCGCGGCACCAUGCUGUCCGCCGCUGUGCUCUUGCCGACGGCACGGCGCUACUUGAUGUAUCGAGCACGUCCGUGUAACUGAGCAGGGCGACGUGGCAGCACACCAUUGGCCAACGGCUUAGCCGUUGGCAUUUUCCAUUUUUUUUAAACCGAAUUUUAAUUAAAAAAAAAUAUUUUUCCACUUCCCAAUAAAUUUUACCG